rnacentral:tRNA from 1 species
GCCGAGAUAGCUCAGUUGGUAGAGCAGCUGUUUUGUAAACAGCGGGUCGCGGGUUCGAAUCCUGUUCUCGGCU